rnacentral:rRNA from 1 species
AUUGAACGCUGGCGGCAGGCCUAACACAUGCAAGUCGAACGAGUGGCGGACGGGUGAGUAAUGUCUGGGAAACUGCCUGAUGGAGGGGGAUAACUACUGGAAACGGUAGCUAAUACCGCAUACCAUCGGAUGUGCCCAGAUGGGAUUAGCUAGUAGGUGGGGUAAAGGCUAACCUAGGCGACGAUCCCUAGCUGGUCUGAGAGGAUGACCGUCCACACUGGAACUGAGACACGGUCCAGACUCCUACGGGAGGCAGCAGUGGGGAUUAUGGCACAAUGGGCGCAAGCCUAAUACAGACAUGCGGCGUGUAUGAAGAGGGCCUUGGGGUUGUAAAGUACUUUCAUCGGGGAGGCGUUACCCGCAGAAAAAGCACCGGCUAACUCCGUGCCAGCAGCCGCGGUAAUAC